rnacentral:rRNA from 1 species
CCUACGGGGGGCUGCAGUGGGGAAUAUUGGACAAUGGGCGAAAGCCUGAUCCAGCCAUGCCGCGUGUGUGAAGAAGGCCUUCGGGUUGUAAAGCACUUUCAGUGGGGAAGAAAGCCUUGGGGCUAAUACCCUCGAGGAAGGACAUCACCCACAGAAGAAGCACCGGCUAACUCCGUGCCAGCAGCCGCGGUACUACGGAGGGUGCGAGCGUUAAUCGGAAUUACUGGGCGUAAAGCGCGCGUAGGCGGUCUGAUAAGCCGGUUGUGAAAGCCCCGGGCUAAACCUGGGAACGGCAUCCGGAACUGUCAGGCUAGAGUGCAGGAGAGGAAGGUAGAAUUCCCGGUGUAGCGGUGAAAUGCGUAGAGAUCGGGAGGAAUACCAGUGGCGAAGGCGGCCUUCUGGACUGACACUGACGCUGAGGUGCGAAAGCGUGGGUAGCAAACAGGAUUAGAUACCCCUGUAGUC